rnacentral:rRNA from 1 species
ACGCACGCUGGCGGCGUGCUUAACACAUGCCAGUCGAACGGAAAGGCCCUGCUUUUGUGGGGUGCUCGAGUGGCGAACGGGUGAGUAACACGUGAGUAACCUGCCCUUGACUUUAGGAUAACUUCAGGAAACUGGGGCUAAUACCGGAUAGGAGCUCCUGCUGCAUGGUGGGGGUUGGAAAGUUUCGGCGGUUGGGGAUGGACUCGCGGCUUAUCAGCUUGUUGGUGGGGUAGUGGCUUACCAAGGCUUUGACGGGUAGCCGGCCUGAGAGGGUGACCGGCCACAUUGGGACUGAGAUACGGCCCAGACUCCUACGGGAGGCAGCAGUGGGGAAUAUUGCACAAUGGGCGGAAGCCUGAUGCAGCAACGCCGCGUGCGGGAUGACGGCCUUCGGGUUGUAAACCGCUUUCGCCUGUGACGAAGCGUGAGUGACGGUAAUGGGUAAAGAAGCACCGGCUAACUACGUG